AGACUAAUAGCUCAGUGGUUCAAAGUGAGGUCACUAGUUAUGCCUAGGUCCUUCAACCCCCAGUUGGUCCA